GGUUCGUGUCUCCUCGGCGCUGAAGAAUCGUCCGUUGUCUGGAGGCGCCACCCUUUCUGUCGGUUGCUUCCAGGUUUUGGCAACUGCGGAUUCCGCCGCUGUAGACCCCCGGGCACAGGCGGUGCGCGGACGGCAGGCGGACCCGAGGCCGCUGGGGGAUGCGGCCCACUCCGAGGACAGCCCGGCCGCAGGAGCAGGACGCCGGGUUCGGGCCGCGGCUUCUGGCGCCCCGGCCGGCCCUCCUCGGCCUCCACGGGGCCUGGCGUUCUGCGUGCCGUCCUGGGCCUCCACCCUCUCGGCCACGCUUGCCUGGAACCUCGACUCUCCAACCAUCGCUGGGGCUGCAGGUUCUCAGAAUUCCUCCCGCUGCCACGGUGGGAUCAGAACCCUCUGGAGAGGCUGUUCAUAAAUUCAAUUUUAUGAAGACACGAAUUCUCGAAGUAAAAACUCAUCAGAAUGGAGAUCCCCUCCAGCUACAUGCUUAUGAAACAUAUCACAAAUACAGGAAUACAGAGGAGUUCCAAGAAGGGUAGAAAUAUAUAUGCUGGACUGCUGGUGUGUCUCUGCUAAUGUCAGACAAAGUGAGCGAAGGCGAAUUCAAUGCAACAAACCUUUAGGACACAUUCAUUCUGAACAUCCACUGAGAACUCGAAGAUGGAAAAGAAAUAGCCCCUGCCCUCGGGAAGUUCACAGCUCAGUGGGAAGGGUGGAAACGCGUGUAAUUAACCAGAAUUCAGGGUGGUAAGUGCCAUGUGCGCAGUGUGGAA